UUCCUGGUGGCUUAGAGGGUAAAGCGCCUGUCUGCAAUAUGGGAGACCUGAGUUCGAUCCCCGGGUGGGGAA
rnacentral:tRNA from 1 species